rnacentral:rRNA from 1 species
ACGUAGGGUGCAAGCGUUGUCCGGAAUUACUGGGUGUAAAGGGACCGCAGGCGGCUCUUUAAGUUGAGAGUUAAAUCUACGGGCUUAACCCGGAUCAGCGUUUAAAACUGGGGAGAUUGAGUGGAGUAGAGGGAGGUGGAAUUCCAGGUGGAGCGGUGGAAUGCGUAGAUAUCUGGAGGAACACCAGUGGCGAAGGCGGCCUGCUGGGCUAUAACUGACGCUGAUGGUCGAAAGCAUGGGUAGCAAACAG